rnacentral:rRNA from 1 species
UACGUAGGGUGCGAGCGUUGUCCGGAAUUAUUGGGCGUAAAGAGCUCGUAGGCGGUCUGUCACGUCGGAUGUGAAAACUCGGGGCUCAACCCCGAGCCUGCAUUCGAUACGGGCAGACUAGAGUACGGAAGAGGCGAGUGGAAUUCCUGGUGUAGCGGUGGAAUGCGCAGAUAUCAGGAGGAACACCAAUAGCGAAGGCAGCUCGCUGGGACGUUACUGACACUGAGGCGCGAAAGCGUGGGGAGCGAACAGG